rnacentral:tRNA from 1 species
GGAGGUGGAUGAGUCUCUGGUGGGCUCCCCGGUCUUCAAAACCGUGCGUGGGGCAUGCGUAAUGUCCCGGAUAGGUUCGAUUCCUAUGCACCUCCGCCA